CUAAGACGUUGAUAGGCUGGGUGUGUAAGUGCAGCGAUGCAUUGAGCUAACCAGUACUAAUGAUCCGUGAGGCUUAACCUUACAACACCGAAGGUGUUUUAG
rnacentral:rRNA from 1 species